GCUGCUGAGACGAUGAUGCUACCCCUGGCAGCAGAAGGCGCUACCACCUAUGAGUGCUUGCUGUGUGCCAGGCACUGUUCAACGCUUCUGAAUGUUAACUCUUCCAGUCCAUACAACUUAAUGAAGUAGGCUCUGUUCCUGCUUUUCAGAUGAGGAAACUGAGGCACAGAGCUGGGGAGUAGGUUGCCCAAGGUCUCACAGCUAGUAGCUGGGGUUUGAAGCUAUCCUGUGCAGUACUGCCUGUCCUCUGGUCCCCUCCUGUAUGACCUGCCUCUGCAGCCACACGUGGGGCAGAGGGAAGACAUGCAGGCUGGGUGCAUCCUCCGGAGGCUCCUGGGCUAGCAGGAAGGGAGGAAGGAGCAGGGUGUCAUGUGAUACCAUCUGGUGGGCAAGUGGCCUGACCAGGCAGAAGGGAGACAGGCAGGGGGCUCAUCACCACCAUUAUCCCUAGUGGCAUGUUUAGUUAUGGGCACUUUACAGGCUGCGUACUCGGAAUCCUCACAACACCGGGGGUCAGUGAGGAGGGAGGUGAGGCUCCCUGCUUGGGGCUGCCUGCUGUGAAGGCAGCUUCUUGGGAGGCGGGAUCUGGGCCAGGCUGGGUGUGGGGAGCUGGGUCCUUGGCCAUCCCCACCAAGAGGGGGUGAGUGGCAGCUGUGGGGUGGGUCACCCCCAUCCUGCAGGAGCUGGCUUGGAGAUGCCCUCUCCUUGCCUCUUCAUCUGUGCAGUGGGGAAGAGUGUCUGCAUCAUGGGGCUACUUUGGGGGUUAGCGAGUAAGGCGUGUGGGGUUCCUAGAACUCCGCCUCCUGUACAGCAGGUGCUCAGUCAGUGGCAGCCGCUGUUCCAGGAUAUUCCAGAGAAAGCACGUCUCAGUGUGGCUUUUUGCUUUUUCUUCUGUCCCUGCAAGUUCACAUACUGUGCUAGCUCUGGGUGGACCCCACUCUGAGGAUUCCCAUUCUGCUCUUGUUCCACAUUCUUAGUUCUUUUCUAUGGUUCAGGCUCCAGGGCGAGGGCACCUCCGCUGAGAAGCCCUCCAGACUUUCCCCUGAGCCUGGGGUCCCUGCAGGGCCAGAUGUCUGUCCCGUGGUGGGGUCCAGCCUUGGCCAUCUGGCGUUUGCUUUCAGGGCCCAGAGCAUUCAUCAGCGAGGCCCGAGAGGUUCCUGCAGAUGAGCAAUGACGACUCGGAUGCCUACCCUGUGAGUGUUGCUGCUGUCCCCAGGAGAGGGACGCACCCUAUUGUGCCCACAGGGCUAGGGGUCCAGGGUGUGGGUGCAGCAGACAGCCACCCUGGCCGUAUGUAUCUCGUCCCCACAGGCAUUCACCAAGGACUUCGAGGUGAGCCAGCUCUAUGACUGCAACUGGAUUGUGGUCAACUGCUCCACACCGGCCAACUACUUCCACGUGCUGCGCCGGCAGAUCCUGCUGCCCUUCCGCAAGCCGCUGAUUAUCUUCACACCUAAAUCUCUGCUGAGGCACCCAGAGGCCAAGUCCAGCUUUGACCAAAUGGUAUCCGGGACCAGCUUCCAGCGGGUGAUUCCUGAAGAUGGGGCCGCAGCACGGGCCCCUGAGCAGGUGCGGCGGCUCAUCUUCUGCACGGGAAAGGUGUAUUAUGACCUGGUGAAGGAGCGGAGCAGCCAGGGCCUGGAGGAGAAAGUGGCCAUCACGCGCCUGGAGCAGAUCUCUCCAUUCCCCUUCGACCUGAUCAAGCAGGAGGCAGAGAAGUACCCAGGUGCAGAGCUGGCCUGGUGUCAGGAGGAGCACAAGAACAUGGGCUACUAUGACUACAUCAGCCCACGCUUCAUGACCAUCCUGAGGCGCGCGCGGCCCAUAUGGUAUGUUGGCCGGGACCCAGCGGCUGCACCAGCCACAGGAAACAGGAACACUCACCUAGUGUCACUGAAGAAGUUUCUGGAUACUGCCUUCAAUCUCCAGGCCUUUGAGGGCAAGACGUUUUAGAGCUGGGCAAGACCUGUGUAGGUCUCGCUGUGGGUCGGCUGGGGACCAAGGGGGUGAUGAAAAGGGGAGGGGCAGAGCUCCUGCCCAGGAGAGGGGCUGCGGGGCCCCAGGAUAAAACAGACUCACACAAUGACAGGGCCAAAGAGCCCCAGCACUGCUAGCCUUGGUGUCAUGCCAGAAUCUACCAGGACUGAGGGAGCCAGAGGAGUCCUAUAGGCAGGCUACUGUGCUGGAGCAUCCCCCAGCUGCUCCCAUCUUGCUGGAAUUUCUUGGGCGGCUUUUCCACCUGUGUCUCAAGACAGACACCCAGGGGCCUGUGUCUGUGGCCGCUCCCAUCCUGGCAGCCCUGGCUGCCGCUCGCCCCACCCUCGCUCAUCUGUAGAUUCAAAGCGAUGUUCUCUUCUGUGCUCUUAGAAGUAGGUAGUUCAGCAGUAACAGCCAGGUGAAGCGAACCUGCUGGGUGAUGUGUUUGCGCUCUGUUUUAUGGGGCAUUCCUGCGAGAUGUGUCAGCUUCUGUGUGAAAUGCAGCCACAGCUCAUGUGUACCAAAGUAGAAAACCAAAUCACAGAGAAAUAAAAACAUGCUUCAG
rnacentral:sRNA from 1 species